UGGGGAAUCUUGCACAAUGGGCGAAAGCCUGAUGCAGCGACGCCGCGUGCGGGAUGAAGGCCUUCGGGUUGUAAACCGCUUUCAGCAGGGACGAGGCCGCAAGGUGACGGUACCUGCAGAAGAAGCCCCGGCUAACUACGUGCCAGCAGCCGCGGUAAUACGUAGGGGGCAAGCGUUAUCCGGAUUCAUUGGGCGUAAAGCGCGCGUAGGCGGUCUGUUAGGUCAGGAGUCAAAUCUGGGGGAUCAACCCCUAUCCGCUCCUGAUACCGGCAGGAUGGAGUCUGGUAUGGGAAGGUGGAAUUCCAAGUGUAGCGGUGAAAUGCGCAGAUAUUUGGAAGAACACCAGUGGCGAAGGCGGCCUUCUGGGCCAUGACUGACGCUGAGGCGCGAAAGCUAGGGGAGCGAACAGG
rnacentral:rRNA from 1 species